rnacentral:rRNA from 1 species
GACGAACGCUGGCGGCGUGCCUAAUACAUGCAAGUCGAGCGGAACUGGGGGAGCUUGCUCCUUCCAGUUUAGCGGCGGACGGGUGAGUAACACGUGGGCAACCUGCCCUGCAGAUCGGGAUAACUCCGGGAAACCGGUGCUAAUACCGAAUAGUUUGGCGCCUCUCCUGAGGCGCCACGGAAGGACGGUCUCGGCUGUCACUGCAGGAUGGGCCCGCGGCGCAUUAGCUAGUUGGUGGGGUAACGGCCCACCAAGGCGACGAUGCGUAGCCGAACGGAGAGGGGGACCGGCGACACUGGGACUGAGACACGGCCCAGACUCCUACGGGAGGCAGCAGUAGGGAAUCUUCCGCAAUGGACGCAAGUCUGACGGAGCAACGCCGCGUGAGUGACGAAGGUUUUCGGAUCGUAAAACUCUGUUGUGAGGGAAGAACACGUACCAACUAACUAUUGGUACCUUGACGGUACCUCACCAGAAAGCCACGGCUAACUACGUGCCAGCCGCCGCCGUAA